ACCUGGGUGGCUUAGCGGGUUAAGCGUCCGACUUCGGCUCAGGUCAUGAUCUCACAGUUCGUGGGUUCGAGCCCCACGUCAGGCU
rfam:Felis catus isolate Cinnamon breed Abyssinian chromosome E2, whole genome shotgun sequence.